rnacentral:rRNA from 1 species
UACGGGGGGGGCAAGCGUUGUUCGGAAUUACUGGGCGUAAAGGGCGCGUAGGCGGCCAACUAAGUCAAACGUGAAAUCCCUCGGCUUAACCGGGGAACUGCGCUUGAUACUGGAUGGCUUGAGAUUGGGAGAGGGAUGCGGAAUUCCAGGUGUAGCGGUGAAAUGCGUAGAUAUCUGGAGGAACACCGGUGGCGAAGGCGACAUCCUGGACCGGCAUUGACGCUGAGGCGCGAAAGCCAGGGGAGCAAACGGG